rnacentral:rRNA from 1 species
GAUGAACGCUAGCUACAGGCUUAACACAUGCAAGUCGAGGGGAAACGACAUCGAAAGCUUGCUUUUGAUGGGCGUCGACCGGCGCACGGGUGAGUAACGCGUAUCCAACCUUCCCGUUGCUAGGGGAUAACCUUGCGAAAGUAAGACUAAUACCCUAUGAGGUUCUUCGCAGGCAUCUAAAGAGAACGAAAGAUUUAUCGGCAACGGAUGGGGGAUGCGUCUGAUUAGCUUGUUGGCGGGGUAACGGCCCACCAAGGCAACGAUCAGUAGGGGUUCUGAGAGGAAGGUCCCCCACAUUGGAACUGAGACACGGUCCAAACUCCUACGGGAGGCAGCAGUGGGGAAUAUUGGUCAAUGGGCGCAAGCCUGAACCAGCCAAGUAGCGUGAGGGAAGACUGCCCUACGGGUUGUAAACCUCUUUUGUCGGGGAGUAACGUGCGGGACGCGUCCCGUAUUGAGAGUACCCGAAGAAAAAGCAUCGGCUAACUCCGUG